rnacentral:rRNA from 1 species
CCUACGGGUGGCAGCAGUGAGGAAUAUUGGUCAAUGGGCGGGAGCCUGAACCAGCCAAGUCGCGUGAGGGAAGACGGUCCUACGGAUUGUAAACCUCUUUUGCCGGGGAGCAACGGGGUCCUUGCGAGGGCCCACUGAGAGUACCCGGAGAAAAAGCAUCGGCUAACUCCGUGCCAGCAGCCGCGGUAAUACGGAGGAUGCGAGCGUUAUCCGGAUUUAUUGGGUUUAAAGGGUGCGUAGGCGGAAGGUUAAGUCAGCGGUCAAAUGUCGGUGCUCAACACCGGCCUGCCGUUGAAACUGGUCUUCUUGAGUGAGCGAGAAGUAUGCGGAAUGCGUGGUGUAGCGGUGAAAUGCAUAGAUAUCACGCAGAACUCCGAUUGCGAAGGCAGCAUACCGGCGCUCAACUGACGCUGAGGCACGAAAGCGUGGGGAUCGAACAGGAUUAGAUACCCCUGUAGUC